CCUGCCCUUUCCAUUAGAUCUUAUAUGUGUAUAUAUUUUCAAAAAAACCGAACAAACGAGGCGAGAGAAGGAAAAAGAGGAGAAAAAAAGAAAGAACUAAACAAGAGGAUUGACCGAUCUGCAACGAAACACACGAAUCAGACGUCCUUUGGCUGCUGGAAUAUCUUUAUCUGUCUCUCUAUAAAGCAAUGCUGCAAGACACCUCACUACAAAGCCAGGCUUAGUAGGGGAGCCGCGAGAACACACACACGGUCCCGUCAACAACAACAAGGGCGCCAGUUAGAGGGCUUUCCUUCUCGGUGACUCCCAGGAAUGAACUGUGGUUUUGCUGGCCCCUGGUAAAAUUACAGUGGGCAACAGAGAGAGAAGCAAGAUGCUGAUAGGAGACAGAAAGAAAGAAUAAGCACCAAAUUUCUUCUGGAGACUUGUUUGGGAAGAAUCAGCUUGAAGCCACCACGGAAUAUUUCUACAGAGAGCUGUUAAACUAGGGCAAGCAGAACCGCCAGCAUAUACACACAGGAGAGAAAUGAGCAGAAGAUUCUAAAAGAGCCAUUUUAACUGGAUUAAUGAACCAAAUAGUCUUG